rnacentral:lncRNA from 1 species
UGAAAAAGAAGGAGUCAGCUGUCAACCUGCAAGUCAACAGCGGCCUCUCCAUACAGGGGAUCUUCCAUUCCUGCCUUUGAGCUUGGCCGCCCCCACAACAGGGCUGUGAAGACGUGGCUGCACCCCCCAGUGCCCCUGACCUUGAGAGCAAAGUGAGAAGAGAAAGAAAAAGAGGAGCGAGAAGAUGACCUCCUAGGACCCCUGCCCCAGGGAAGCCCUGUUCCUCAGAUGCGCAUCACAGACCCCAGGGGCCUUUUCCUCUAGAAGGUGUCCACACAAACAGCCAUGGGGCCCUCUAAAGGUGGCUCCCUUCGCACAGGAGAACACUCAACCACACGGACCCACUGAGGACACACGUGUGCAGCGUGAGCAUUGCCAUCAGUGCUGCGUGACAGUCACCUCUUCUCCAGACCCUGCUUGGAGUCCCUGACCCGUCUCACCAUCACGUGAUCUCAAGUUUAUUGAAGGAAAUCAGAUGCAGCAGCAAACAUGCUUCUCAGGCUCAGAAACAAAACCCUCGCCACUGAGCUGAUGAGUGUCUCUGUGCUUCUGAACAGUGUGGACAAGGUUAAUGAAUGAGGCCCAGGCAGGCCUGUGGGCUCCUUCAAUCGGGGCAUCGAAAGCCUGGGAAGUUUUAACAGAGGCUGUUGAUGGGCAUGUUUCAAAGCAAACAGCAUCAGGGCCCUGACAGGCCAAUGA